UACGGAGGGUGCAAGCGUUGCUCGGAAUUACUGGGCGUAAAGCGUACGCAGGCUGUUCGUUAAGUCGGGUGUGAAAGCCCGGGGCUCAACCCCGGAAUUGCGCCCGAAACUGACGAGCUUGAGUGCGGGAGAGGGAAGCGGAAUUCCUGGUGUAGAGGUGAAAUUCGUAGAUAUCAGGAGGAACACCGGUGGCGAAAGCGGCUUCCUGGCCCGACACUGACGCUCAUGUACGAAAGCGUGGGGAGCAAACAGG
rnacentral:rRNA from 1 species